rnacentral:lncRNA from 1 species
AUGGUAAGUGUUAUCUUUACUGUACUUCAUUGCUAUUCUGUAUUUUCACCUACCUUCUCUUCCAUUGGUCUUCCUCUACUGUUUGCCCAAAUUAAUAACUUUACUUCUACACUAGGUCCCCAUGCACAUCUCUUUUUAAAGAUGGGUGACUACUCACUUCUCUGUUUUUCUUUCUUCAGAGAAUAUUGGAAAAGUUAUAAACUUACAUUGCUGUCUGAGUUUUUCAUCUGCUUAGCUCAGUGAUGUGGACAUGUUCUCGAAUUAUUUAUGACCCAUUUGUUGCCCAGAUAUAAGGGCUAGGUGAGCUUGAUCAGCCAGGCCUAACUGCCACCCUUAUCUUCAGCUGAGAGUCACAGUCUGAAAGCCAGCAAUCUUCAACAAAAGUGUCAUUUCCAAGCACUUCAGCAGAAAUAGACUCUUCACUUUGUUAUUUGGAAGGGGGCUGGGAAGAAAAUGAACAAACACAUCCAGAAUGAUGUUUUUUUUCUUUUGACCAAAACUUCAGACAUUAGAGACAUUGCAGUGAGUUCCCUGAGCUGCAAAGUUUCUUUGGUUGGAAUGGCUUCAUUUUAACAGUGGAGUUUCAAGUGUCCAUUCUUUGCUCUUAAAAGUGACCAGUUAAUGAGAAGGGGACAAUUCUAAUGGUGAUAGUAAUAAUGGCAAGCAGGGUGGGCUAAAUGCUAUCACAAAGAAACCAAGGGUGGGUUGGCAGUUGCAUUCCUAGUGGGGCAGCCCUCCUGUGCACUUUGGCUCCAAAGAACAGCUCAGGGAUGCAGACUCCUUCCAUCUUGGAAAGCCCUCAGACUCAUCCGUAAGGUUCCAGGUGAUGCAGAAGGUAAAGACAAAACAUGGUGAGCCCUUACCAUAUUAAAUUCCUUGUCAGGAAUAGACACACACCAGUUCUGCUCAUAUUGGCCAAGAAGGAGAAACAGGGUCCUACACAGAGUAAAUGCAAGGAGACUGGGAAACAUAAUCACUGGUUUGACAACUACUUCCCCGCACUCUGUACCACAGUAAGGAAACAUGAAUAUUUAAUAAUCUGAAUUUCACAUGGUUUGGUAUGUGUUGAGCACUUUUUAAAGUUAAUUUACAUAAUACCUUUUUACUACAGGUAAAACUAUAACAUCAACCACUCUUUCUUCCUGUUAAAUAGAAUCGUCAUGAGCUAAAUAGGUUAGUAAGUGCAAAAUACUUGAAUAUGAAUGGCACCUAGUAAGCAUAAUUGUUGAUAUCUAUUAGUAUU